GAGAUUAUAGCUAAAGAGGUAGAGCACAUGCCUAGUAUGCAUGAGGUCCUGGGUUCAAUCCCCAGUACUUCCA
rnacentral:tRNA from 1 species